rnacentral:rRNA from 1 species
AGUGAACGCUGGCGGUAGGCCUAACACAUGCAAGUCGAACGGCAGCACAGUAAGAGCUUGCUCUUACGGGUGGCGAGUGGCGGACGGGUGAGGAAUACAUCGGAAUCUACUUUUUCGUGGGGGAUAACGUAGGGAAACUUACGCUAAUACCGCAUACGCGCUACGGGUGAAAGCAGGGGAUCUUCGGACCUUGCGCGAUUGAAUGAGCCGAUGUCGGAUUAGCUAGUUGGCGGGGUAAAGGCCCACCAAGGCGACGAUCCGUAGCUGGUCUGAGAGGAUGAUCAGCCACACUGGAACUGAGACACGGUCCAGACUACUACGGGAGGCAGCAGUGGGGAAUAUUGGACAACGGGCGCAAGCCUGAUCCAGCCAUACCGCGUGGGUGAAGAAGGCCUUCGGGUUGUAAAGCCCUUUUGUUGGGAAAGAAAAGCAGCAGGUUAAUACCCCGCUGUUCUGACGGUACCCAAAGAAUAAGCACCGGCUAACUUCGUG